GUUGCUGCACGUGGAACAGGCGCGGAUUCUGUCUUCUCUUCGUGCCCUGUCAGCACCGGGGAUGAACUGGUGAGGGGAAGACUGCAGGAAAACACUUCACAACCAAAGCGGAUGAAAGCGAGUCCAGACUCAUGAGGACCCCUCCCACUGACAGCGGUGACCUCGAGUUAGUGGGACCCCAGCGCUGUAGUGCUUUGCACUCACCUUGACUCCCACCGAGCUUGGCGGUUGCUCUCCGCCUGCAGCCUAGGCGGAGCGGAGCCCUAGCGCGCAUGCGCGCACAUCCCGGCCGUUGGCUGCGUGCGCGGGGCCUGUCGGGACCGCCCGCGCCCUCCGGUCAGCAGGGGAACUAGCCGGGCUUGUUCCCUUACGUUUUAAUAUCUUCACUCUUGCUCCCUCCCAGCGAAGCAGAGAAAAGAUAGGUCUACGUUUGGUUUUUGUUGUUAUCUCAGGCAAAUGAUGUUGAUGUUUAAAAAAUUUAAAACGCUGCUUCAGGGAAUGCAAAAUGUCUAGUCACUUUGGAAGACAUUCCAGUAUUCCCUCGAAGGACUCAACAUAAAGUUACCCCAUGAUCCAGCAAUUCCACUCUUAGUUUGCUGGCUUUCUUUGUAAACUGCAUAUGAAAACUUCAUACAGAGGAUCUGCUACCACUGUCUGCAUCGUUGGACACCUAUUCCCCAAGUGUGACAAAUUUGGGUCUCGCUGUGGCACCCAGGCUGAAAAGUGCAGUGGCACAAUUUCAGUUCACUGUAACUUCCAUCUCCUGGGCUCAAGCCAUCCUCCAACUUCAGCCUCCAGAGUAGCUGGGACUAAAGGUGAAAAAUGGUAACCUGUUAUGGUUUAAUAUUGCACUUCUUCAACGGAGGCAGAAUUAGAAGGAGCUACAUAAAAAGAGAGAGACAUAGAAAGUGAUGAAAUAAGAACAAUGAAAAAAGGGUGAAAAGAAAUACAAAAGAAAUUAGAGAGAUGAAUGAUAAAAACUGAACUACAAGUUAAGGAAACUCUUCUGCAAAAAAUCCAAAGAUGGAAUGUUUCACAGAAGAGAGAAUGAAAGUGAUCAUGGAUGGAGCUAUUAAAAUCAUGAAAACAUCAUGAACACACACUACCGGUGUGGAUCUCCACAGUGCUGAGUUUUUAGAUGACAUUCCCUACACCCCUUCCUCUUAUGAAGAGUUUCACAAAAGACGUCUUUAGAAG